ACACGACUACAUUAGAUACCCCUGUAGUCCUAGCCGUAAACGAUACUCGCUAGGUGUCGGCCACGGUGCGACCGUUGUCGGUGCCGUAGGGAAGCCGUGAAGCGAGCCACCUGGGAAGUACGGCCGCAAGGCUGAAACUUAAAGGAAUUGGCGGGGGAGCACCGCAACGGGAGGAGCGUGCGGUUCAAUUGGAUUCAACGCCGGACAACUCACCAGGAGCGACGGUUACAUGAAGGCCAGGCUGAUGACCUUGCCUGAUUUUCCG
rnacentral:rRNA from 1 species